GCCCUUGAUGUAUAAGAGGCAGCCUGUGCAC
rnacentral:piRNA from 1 species